AUGAGGAUGUGGAGAGCUUGGUGGGUGGUCGUGUACUUCUUUGGAGCAAGAGCUGAAAUCACCCAAACCUCAAGUCUUGUGCUGAAAGAAGAUGAGAAAGCUACUCUGACAUGCAGUCAAAAUGAUAAUCACAUUAGUAUGUACUGGUACCUGCAGCAGCCAGGGAAGGGGAUGCAGCUGAUCUAUUAUUCCAUUGGUGCAAAUCAGGAACAAGAGGGUGACAUUCCCACUGGAUACAAAGCUAAGCGGUUAAACAUUGCAAAUUUCAAUCUGGAUAUUCUGUCUGUGAAGAAGAACCAUUCAGCUGUCUAUUUCUGU